AGGCAAAGAAAACACAAAUGAUUCUUUGUAGGUAUGGGUCCUCUGUAACCAAUGCAAGAAAAUGAAAUUGUUGACUGGAGAAAAAUACUGCAACAUCUAUGACCAUGAGCUAUUGCUACAUAAAGAGCAUGACAGGAGACACUAUGUAAAUCUUCACUUGGAAUGGGACGUGGGAUCUCAAAAUCGACCAGUGCUAGAGACUCUAAAAUAAGUCUCUCCACUACCAGAAACCCUCACUGCCUCUCAGAGCCCGGAUCCAUAAAGGAAUACCCUGGGAUUUUGAAGCAGCAUUGGUUCAUCUAGAGCACUUGUUUAGGCUGACAGGCUGGAAUCAGCGAGAUGCAAAAAUCCCGGGUCUUCUCCUGCAGAAGAGAGAGGGCCUGGCAGCCGAGCUGGAUGCCUCAGGAGCAGAGGAUCUAUCAACGGCAGACCAAGCCUAGGGAGACGCAGGCAGACCUGGAACAGAAACCCAGCCCGCUCCAGCUGCUCCCACGAUACGUGGUGGCCGGACGGUUGGCGACAGGAAGCACGCCACGGGCCAUGAGGCAGGAACCGAUUCUGACCCAAUCCUUGAGGUCUGGUAAGUUUCCUCAGUCUUGGAAAGCGAGGCAAAUGAUAACCAAGUCUUUCU
rnacentral:lncRNA from 1 species